rnacentral:rRNA from 1 species
AUUGAACGCUGGCGGCAUGCUUUACACAUGCAAGUCGAACGGUAACAGGCCGCAAGGUGCUGACGAGUGGCGAAUGGGUGAGUAAUGCAUCGGAACGUGCCCAGUCGUGGGGGACAACUACUCGAAAGAGUAGCUAAUACCGCAUACGAUCUAUGGAUGAAAGCGGGGGACCGUAAGGCCUCGCGCGAUUGGAGCGGCCGACGUCAGAUUAGGUAGUUGGUGGGGUAAAGGCUCACCAAGCCAACGAUCUGUAGCUGGUCUGAGAGGACGACCAGCCACACUGGGACUGAGACACGGCCCAGACUCCUACGGGAGGCAGCAGUGGGGAAUGUUGGACAAUGGGCGCAAGCCUGAUCCAGCAAUGCCGCGUGCAGGAAGAAGGCCUUCGGGUUGUAAACUGCUUUUGUGCGGAACGAAACGGCUCUGGUUAAUACCCGGGGCUAAUGACGGUACCGUAAGAAUAAGCACCGGCUAACUACGUG